rnacentral:rRNA from 1 species
AUGUCUGUGAAACAAGCAAGAAGAAGCAAAGUUUGUAACCAUACAGCCAGAUCGACCCAGGAGACAGAGACAAGACAGAUGAGGGUCGAUCCAGCCGCCGCUGGCGACGAGGGGAUCGGUCGAUCCAGCCGACAUGGGCGAUUUGUCUGCCAGGGAGAAGGGAGAAGAGGCAAUCAUUCUUCAGUUUCUGUUCAGACAAUCAUAGCAGGUGAUGGGCCCGGUGAUGAUAGCGUUCUUCUGCAUGAACGUGAACCUGGUGUUUUUGAUGCGGAUGGUGAAACAGGCAACAGCCGCAUAACCAACAACACGAGCAAGUGA